CGUAACAAUGAUAGGGCAAGGGGAGACAGUUGUCUGGGGGCCCCACUGCCUGGAGGGGCACCCCAGAGGCACCUCAUGUGACUCCCCAUUGCCCCCUGCCCAGCCCCAUAGCCUCUCAGCCACUUGCCCUCUUCGCCGUCUCUCCUGCUUGUUCUGCUGGCCGCAAUCGAAGCAGCAGGCAAGCUGCAAAGAGCUCCUUUUCUCCCGCCUCUCAGCUGAUCGGCGGGUGGGCGGGGCUUCCACGGAGGCCUCCGUGUAGGCCGCAGUGAAGCCUGAACUCGAGUAGGGCCCAAGCAAGCCAGGAAGGAGGAGGCAGCCAGAGUGUCCUCUGCAGCAGAAGACCCCAGACCAGCAUCUGCUUAACCCAGACCAGCAUUUGCCAGAACCUGCAUUUGGAACUGGUGGAAGCUGAGAGAGGAAUGCCAGAGACUGUGCCUCAGUCGGUAUAACAUGGGAACCAUUACCUUUAUAAUUGCAUGUUCCUCUAACAGAUGCAGGUCCAUUCAGCUGAGGGAGCACUUUACUAUGCGAAGAGGCAUGGAAAAACAUUAUCCUAUAAGGCUCAGAUAAGAGAGGUCAAAAAACCUAACAACUGCAAAGAAAACCUCGUUCCAAAAGUCCUCUACUAGAAGACAACACGAGCACUGUGCAAAUAGCUGGAGGAGCACAUUAAGAAAGUGCAGGAGUCCUAUUCAGAUAUUGUAUUGUACUUGCUUACAGGUAUCUGUAGACAUGUACAUGUUUUAUGUGAAUUUUUGCACAUGUGUUCAUUGAAAAGUGAACCUGGGUACAGGCCUUCUCAAUGUGGAGUACAGAUAGGACAUGUUCAAUUGUGUAUGUGCUGAACAAGAGGUGUGAAUAACUGUACAUGUGCACAGAUCUGUACGUGUGUACACUGUAUAUAGAUUGUACAAAUGUGGAAUGUAACUUGUGAAUGGGGCUAGGUAAGAUGCUGAAACCAUUGGGGUUGGGUACCAACAUACUAAUACACUGCAACAGAGAUCUCUGUCCUUGAGAUAAUAAAGAUAUGUAUAAUCAUAAGAUUGGAAUCUUAAAGAUAAAGUUCACACAGCCUUCUCAUCAGACAGAGCUGGAUUCUAAAGUUUCAUUGAGCAUCCUCCUCAUGGCAGCUUCCAACAUAGGCAGCCACUAGUGGUGCACAGAGCCCUCUGUGUGGUCAAACUGUAACCAGUGAUUUCCUUCUAUUGGGCAGAUGUUAUUUAUAGUGCCUUUGGCUUCUCAGUGAUUUCAGAAUAUCUUGCUUGAGCAACUGUCUCUUUAUUCAAUUAUUUGCUGCACAGCAUGCACUGACAUCACGAAACAAUUCCU